rnacentral:rRNA from 1 species
AGGAUAAACGCUGGCGGCGUGCCUAACACAUGCAAGUCGAACGCGCUUUCGGGCUUCGGUGCGAGAGCGAGUGGCGGACGGGUGAGUAACACAUGGGUACCUACCUUGGAGUGAGGGAUACCGGCGAGAAAUCGCCGACAAUACCGCAUAGGCUUCUUCACAAGGGAAGCAAAGUGACGCGAGUCACGCUUUGAGAUGGGCCUGUGGCCGAUUAGCUAGUUGGGGGGUAACGGCUUCCCAAGGCGACGAUCGGUAGCUGGUCUGAGAGGACGAUCAGCCACACUGGGAUUGAGAACGGCCCAGACUCCUACGGGGGGCAGCAGUGAGGAAUUUUCCGCAAUGGAGGCAACUCUGACGGAGCAACGCCGCGUGCAGGAGGAAGGUUUUCGGAUCGUAAACUGCUUUUCUCGGGGACGAGCAAGGACGGUACCCGAGGAAGAAGCCCCGGCUAACUACGCGCCAGCAGCCGC